rnacentral:rRNA from 1 species
GAUGAACGCUAGCGGCAGGCCUAAUACAUGCAAGUCGAACAGUGUCUUCGGACAUAGUGGCGCACGGGUGCGUAACACGUAUGCAACCUACCUUACAUUGGGGGAUAGCCUUUCGAAAGGGAGAUUAAUACCGCAUAAGACAGUAGCUGGGCAUCCAGCAGCUAUUAAAGAUUUAUCGAUGUAAGCUGGGCAUGCGUCCAAUUAGCUAGUUGGUGAGGUAACGGCUCACCAAGGCAAUGAUUGGUAGGGGAACUGAGAGGUCAAUCCCCCACACUGGCACUGAGAUACGGGCCAGACUCCUACGGGAGGCAGCAGUAGGGAAUAUUGGGCAAUGGACGCAAGUCUGACCCAGCCAUGCCGCGUGCAGGAUGAAGGCGUUAUGCGUUGUAAACUGCUUUUAUACAGGAAGAAACGACUCUUGCGAGAGGCAUUGACGGUACUGUAUGAAUAAGCACCGGCUAACUCCGUGCCAGCCGCCGCUGUAAGAC